GUCAUCUGGCGACGUAGCCUCCGUUACAAACCGCCGAACUCUUCGCCCGAGGUUCCAGAAAAAUACGACGCAGCUCUAAAGUGUUCGGCCACACCCAGUACCACCGGAGGGAUCGUUAUCAAACGCAUCGGCAAUAGCGAAAGAAGAGAAAUAGUAGGAAUAAGAAGUGAUCUUGAACUUGAAAUGAGUAGGCCUUUGUAAUAGCUUCUAUUGUAUCUCCAAAGUACUACACCGAGGACGCGCUGUUAAAAGCUGGACUAAGAUCGUAGAAUAUUGUGCAUGCCAGUGACCUAAAUUUACGAUCGCAGCCCUACUGCGCGUUGUACCCCAGAACAAAUUGUGCGCCACGCUAAUAUGAUCCCCGUAGAUCGAGCGCAAUAAUUAGAAAUUGAAUUCCC